rnacentral:rRNA from 1 species
GUCUUUACGGUAGAGAGGUGCUUGCACCUCUUGAGAGCGGCGGACGGGUGAGUAAUGCCUAGGAAUCUGCCUGGUAGUGGGGGAUAACGCUCGGAAACGGACGCUAAUACCGCAUACGUCCUACGGGAGAAAGCAGGGGACCUUCGGGCCUUGCGCUAUCAGAUGAGCCUAGGUCGGAUUAGCUAGUUGGUGGGGUAAUGGCUCACCAAGGCGACGAUCCGUAACUGGUCUGAGAGGAUGAUCAGUCACACUGGAACUGAGACACGGUCCAGACUCCUACGGGAGGCAGCAGUGGGGAAUAUUGGACAAUGGGCGAAAGCCUGAUCCAGCCAUGCCGCGUGUGUGAAGAAGGUCUUCGGAUUGUAAAGCACUUUAAGUUGGGAGGAAGGGCAUUAACCUAAUACGUUAGUGUUUUGACGUUACCGACAGAAUAAGCACCGGCUAACUCUGUGCCAGCAGCCGCGGUAAUACAGAGGGUGCAAGCGUUAAUCGGAAUUACUGGGCGUAAAGCGCGCGUAGGUGGUUCGUUAAGUUGGAUGUGAAAGCCCCGGGCUCAACCUGGGAACUGCAUUCAAAACUGUCGAGCUAGAGUAUGGUAGAGGGUGGUGGAAUUUCCUGUGUAGCGGUGAAAUGCGUAAGAUAUAGGAAGGACACCAGUGGCGAAGGCGACCACCUGGAACUGAUACUGACACUGAGGUGCGAAAGCGUGGGGAGCAAACGGGAUAAAAUACCCUGGUA